GACACAGUGCCAGAGUGGUUAAUGGGUAUGACUCGAACGAUUCAUUCUUCAGCUAUCAUAUGACUUCGGUCGCACAGGUUCGAAUCCUGUCUGUGUCG